rnacentral:rRNA from 1 species
UACGUAGGCAGCGAGCGUUGUUCGGAGUUACUGGGCGUAAAGGGUGUGUAGGCGGUUGUUUAAGUUUGGUGUGAAAUCUCCCGGCUCAACUGGGAGGGUGCGCCGAAUACUGAAUGACUUGGAGUGCGGGAGAGGAAAGUGGAAUUCCUGGUGUAGCGGUGAAAUGCGUAGAUAUCAGGAGGAACACCUAUAGCGAAGGCAGCUUGCUGGGACGUUACUGACGCUAAGGCGCGAAAGCGUGGGGAGCGAACAGG